GGGUAUGGAAGAGAAGUCCAAGUAAUGGUAUAUAAUCAGAGCAAUUAGAGGCUUUUUUCUUCUCUCAUUCCCUGUCAGUGAAAAUUUUAAUUCUAAAAUUUGGGGUGGUAGGGAGAUUUUUUUUUCCUUAGGGGAAAAGAGGUUAAAUUAAUAUAAAAUAAAUUCAUAUUGGGGGACAAAAAGUAAUAAUACUAAAAGGAGAUUACACAUGGCAAAGGAAAAAUUCAAAUGAUAUUCCUAUCAUGUGACAAGAACGAAACUUGAGCAGGUAGUCUCAGCUCAGUUUCCUUGCAUGCAUUAUGAAACAGUCAUUACUAAUAGGCACGAGUGCUACUUUUUGUUCUGCAGAGCCUCUAUUCUUUCAGUGGAAUGAAAGGUUAUUCAGUAUUCAGUUUGUCUUUUCCUUAUCCAACAGACAUUUCCAACCCUUCUUUGGUGCGAAACAUUCAAGUACAGAAAUACAAAUAUCUUCGAGGGUUUCCCCAGCAACACUGUCCUCAACACUGCCAGAGGCAUCAGGGUCCUCAGCCAGAGCCCAGCAUGAAUAGGUGCUGCAAAUACUUCUGUCACUUGAGUCUCUUGGCAGAUGUUAAAGGCAGAGGUAGCCACAUACUCUGUGGCUAUCUCCCUACUAUGGUGCAGAAGAGCUUGGUGGCACAACCCUCUGUCUUAACCUCCAGAUGUCAGGUAAUGAGUACAAAAUCCCCCCCUGCCCUGUCACGCCAGGAGCUGGGUGGGAAGCAGGACUCCCGUGGGCCUGGCCACCAGUGGGCUCUGUGCCAGUGCUCCCCAAACAGACAGCAACCACAGACUGAUUCCUAACCCUAAAACUGCCAAGAGGCUUCCAAGAAAGUCUCAGAGGAGGAAGUCACAGGUUUCUUCUAGGGUUUGGCAAAGAAGGAUUGUAGACUUUGCUUCAUCUGGGUCAUGCCAUCAUCCCUGGGCAGCAUGCCUCUGCCUGUGGUGCCCAUGGGUUGGACUGCUCCAAAGCAUCUGCUUCUGAGUUUGAAAUAUCUGAAGUCCUAUGCAGGUUGAAUUCCUGCAGGCAUACGUAGCAGAUCCUGAAUUUUCAAGCUUAGUCUCCAUAAAGCCCUUUAUUUGACAUCUGGAGAAUGGGACAAAGUUUUAGAAGUCUUAAAACUGUGAUUGUACAGCUGCCUACCUAAGAACUAUCUUUAAGAAGCCAGACUUGAAAAUGUCACCAUAACUUUUAUGUUUGAUUGUGGUCAAAGUAAAAAACUCUGUUGUCUGCAGAACUCCAGUUCAGGCUUGUUAGGUUUUUAAUCUUCACAGUGGUUUUGAUUUUUUUCUGUUAUUUAAAUUUGAUAUCUACAUGUCUGGGAAAUUAGCUAAUUCACUUGUAAUAGCUUUUACGAGCAGUUCAUUUAUGUAAUUUAUUUCAUUACUGUUACACAAAAUACACCACAAGUAGAUUUAGACAAAGAAAUGGAUGAGGAAGUUUUCUGAAAGUAUGUUUUCUCUGAAAAAUAUUGAUGAACAAUAACAUUUUGUGGAACCACACCAACUUUGACUAAUCUUGCUUUGGAAGGUAGUAAAGAACGACAGAAGCACAGAAAUCAAGAGCAUCCAAAAGCUGAUGAGGAGGGCAUUCUGCUGGGUUCCAAAUGACCCGCUUGUCUCUGUUUCUUGACUGUUGUCUUUUAGAGUGCCAGGACAAUAAAAAUCCACUGUGCUGGAGCA
rnacentral:lncRNA from 1 species